CUCCUUUUUCGCUCGCGUUUAAGUUGAUGCCAUUAAAAUCAAUUGAAUCAGUACCCUGUGACGGAAACGAUUCGUUUCCUCUAUGUAUUAAUCGGAUUUUUGAACUUGGAGUACGGUGCUGGAGCUUGCUCCACCCUGCUCAUGGGUUGUCCUGGUAUUGCAUUGCCUCCAGGUUCGGCUCACGUUUC
rnacentral:snRNA from 1 species